AUUGAACGCUGGCGGCAGGCCUAACACAUGCAAGUCGAGCGAGCGGCGGACGGGUGAGUAAUGUAUGGGGCCUGCCCGAAAGAGGGGGAUAACUACUGGAAACGGUGGCUAAUACCGCAUACUAUCGGAUGACCCAUAUGGGAUUAGCUAGUAGGUGGGGUAAAGGCUCACAUAGGCGACGCUCUCUAGCUGGUCUGGGAGGAGGAUGACCACACGGUGACUGAGACACGGCCCAGACCCCCACGGAGGCAGCAGUGGAGAAUAUUGCACAAUGGGCGCAAGCCUGAUGCAGCCAUGCCGCGUGGAUGAAGAAGGCCUUAGGGUUGUAAAGUACUUUCUGCGGGGAGGCGUUACCCGCAGAAGAAGCACCGGCUAACUCCGUGCCAGCAGCCGCCGUAAUAC
rnacentral:rRNA from 1 species